rnacentral:rRNA from 1 species
AUUGAGCGCUGGCGGCAUGCCUUACACAUGCAAGUCGAACGGCAGCGGGGACUUCGGUCCGCCGGCGAGUGGCGAACGGGUGAGUAAUGUAUCGGAACGUACCUUUCAGUGGGGGAUAACGUAGCGAAAGUUACGCUAAUACCGCAUAUUCUCUGAGGAGGAAAGCAGGGGACCUUCGGGCCUUGCGCUGGUGGAGCGGCCGAUAUCAGAUUAGCUAGUUGGUGGGGUAAAGGCCCACCAAGGCGACGAUCAGUAGCUGGUCUGAGAGGACGAUCAGCCACACUGGGACUGAGCCACGGCCCAGACUCCUACGGGAGGCAGCAGUGGGGAAUUUUGGACAAUGGGGGAAACCCUGAUCCAGCAAUGCCGCGUGUGUGAAGAAGGCCUUCGGGUUGUAAAGCACUUUUGUCAGGAACGAAACGGUGGGGGCUAAUACCCUCUGCUAAUGACGGUACCUGAAGAAUAAGCACCGGCUAACUACGUGCCAGCCGCCGCCGUAA